rnacentral:misc_RNA from 1 species
AAAAAGGUACCAGUUUUUUGGAGCCAUCCUGGUUUCCUCUUGUUUUCUUUGUAGUAUAUCCAUUUUAUGUGCAUGAUUUGGAUCUGAUUGAUGGGUUUUAUUUGAUUUCGGUUUCAAUGAUUUGGGUUUUUAUUGUUUCAUUUAAAGCUUGUGAUAAUUAAUGUCUGUAAGAUAUUAUCGGCUAGCUUUUGCAAGAGAGUUAUUAUGUUUUUUGUUAUUAUGAAUUUUUUUUUAAUUCUAUUGUUUAGUAGAUUAUAUACAGACUUUUGCUUAAUCUGGACCAUAUAAUCUUAGAAAUAGAGCAAACCACAUAGUUUUCAUGGUGUUGCCUCUAUGUUUUCUACCUAAUGUGAUUGCAAUUACUAUAACUACUAACCUCUGGCAAUAGAUAGCUGAUAUCACCGGACACUGUAGCUUUAGCUACCUUUGUGAUCCAAUUUUUCUAAAUGUUUUUGGCUCUUUUGUUCAGAAGGUCAGUUUAUUAUGGUUAAGCUGUAUUCUACUUCUCAAGGGAGUAUUUG